GGCGGAGGGUGCUAGCGUUGUUCGGAAUGACUGGGCGUAAAGGGCGCGUAGGCGGCUUGGUUAGUCGGGUGUGAAAGCCCGGGGCUCAACCCCGGAACGGCAUCCGAUACUGCCUGGCUCGAGACCGGGAGAGGAGGGUGGAAUAUCCAGUGUAGAGGUGAAAUUCGUAGAUAUUGGAUGGAACACCAGUGGCGAAAGCGGCUCUCUGGCCCGGAUCUGACGCUGAGGCGCGAAAGCGUGGGGAGCAAACAGG
rnacentral:rRNA from 1 species